AGGGGGAGUGCUAUUUUAAAAAAACAAAAGUCAAGAAGGGAUCCAGAGAAGAGGUGUGCUCACCAUGGUCCCCAGAUUCAGUGUCACCCUCUCCCUCUCCAAGGAGUGUCGAUGGCGGGAGAUGGAGGAGCACCGGCAGGCAGAGAGGCUCCAGAGGCAGUUGCAACAAGAACAAGCAUAUCUCCUGUCUCUACAGCACGACCACAGGAGGCCACACGCACAACAGCCGCCACCCCCGCAGCAGCAGGACAGGAGCAAACCCAGCUAUCACGCUCCAGAGCCCAAGCCUCACUACGACCCUGCUGACAGAGCUCGGGAGGUAUCUGCGUUCCCAUACUGCUUACAUGUUGGGCCCGAGAGAGCUAGACGUCCCCUAAUGACUGUGGAGAGCCACUGAAUGUGUACCUUGAGUUCCAGAACAGACCUGGGUGCUAGCCAGGAGCUCACCUUCGUUUUCCCCGUGGAUGCCUCGGUUAACAAAUCCUAGAGAAAUCAGAAGGAAACUAUACAAAAAACAAAAAACAAAACAAAA
rnacentral:lncRNA from 1 species